AGCACCGGCUAACUCCGUGCCAGCAGCCGCGGUAAUACGGGGGGUGCAAGCGUUAAUCGGAUUUAUUGGGCGUAAAGGGCGCGCAGGCGGCCUGGUAAGUCAGAUGUGAAAGCCCGGGGCUCAACCCCGGAAGUACAUUUGAAACUAUCAGGCUUGAGUAUGGGAGAGGGAAGUGGAAUUCCUGGUGUAGCGGUGAAAUGCGUAGAUAUCAGGAGGAACACCGGUGGCGAAGGCGACUUCCUGGACCAAUACUGACGCUGAGGCGCGAAGGCGUGGGUAGCAAACAGGAUUAGAUACCCUGGUAGUCCACGCAGUAAACGUUGAUCACUAGGUGUAGCGGGUCUUUACCCACUGCUGUGCCGAAGCUAACGCAUUAAGUGAUCCGCCUGGGGAGUACGAUCGCAAGGUUAAAACUCAAAGGAAUUGGACGG
rnacentral:rRNA from 1 species